rfam:Loxodonta africana unplaced genomic scaffold scaffold_45, whole genome shotgun sequence.
ACACUGGUGAUUCAGUGGUAGGAUUCUCGCCUCCCAUGCAGGAGACCCGGGUUCAAUUCCCGGCCAAUGCA